AGAGUUUGAUCCUGGCUUAGGACGAACGCUGGCGGCGCGCCUAACACAUGCAAGUCGAACGAGCGAGAGAGAGCUUGCUUUCUCGAGCGAGUGGCGAACGGGUGAGUAACGCGUGAGGAACCUGCCUCAAAGAGGGGGACAACGAGCUGGAAACGACUGCUAAUACCCGCAUAAGCCCACGGGUCGGCAUCGACCAGAGGGAAAAGGAGCAAUCCGCUUUGAGAUGGCCUCGCGUCCGAUUAGCUAGUUGGUGAGGUAACGGCCCACCAAGGCGACGAUCGGUAGCCGGACUGAGAGGUUGAACGGCCACAUUGGGACUGAGACACGGCCCAGACCUCCGUACGGGAGGCA
rnacentral:rRNA from 1 species